GAUCGAUCAAGUGGACCCUGUAAGCAGAGAUAUUUAACUGGUCAAGAAUGGCGGGCAGCCCAUACAUAUAUUUUACUGAAUUGUCCAGAAGUAUCAUCAUUUUAUGAGAUUUUUGAAAACUUAUAUUCUGAUUUGUCGACACAACAGUUUGAUCGCUUAUGUCAAGAAGAAUUUGCACCAUGGUUCAAAUCAUAUGUUCUUGAUAAUCAAACUAACCUUCAGCAAGAAUUUCUAAUCCAUCUGGCAUGGGGUCCAAAAGCAAUGG